CAGAAAAACAGGUCACUUUGGUUUUGUGAGUUGUUUAGUGUCUAUUAACAAUUUCUUUUUUUUCUUUAGAAGUAUUAAAGUUAAAGACAUGAAGGAAAGAAGAGGAAAGUAUAAGAGGCUCCAAAAUGGAAGAUUAAAGGAUUUCACUUUUGCUGCUGAGGACAUUCAGCUUAGAAAGGUGAAAGAUAACAGAAGUAGGAUGACUUCGGGAUAGAACAAUAGGAGGUUGAGCAGGAGGAACUUGCCUUUACCAGACCCAAGGUGUUCAUCUGCCGUUUUAUCAUUGGGCCCUUGAUGAUGAAGUAUCCCCUCUAUCUACAGACAUUACAGAUUUCCCAGAAGUAAUUCACAUUUGUCUGCUGCAUAGCUCCU
rnacentral:lncRNA from 9 species